GCUGAAGCCCGGAUGUCUCCUCGGACCCUGACCUUGCUGCGGUGGUCCUCGUAGCGGCUCUGGUCCCAUCUCUGCUGCAGGCCUAAUUGAAACGGAAUUGAUCUGGAGGCCGGUGAGUAUCGACAGACAGCGAGGUGGAUGUGGUUCCCGAUCCUCUGAUGUCCACCAGAUGGAGUCAUCCCCUCGUCUGGUGAUCUGAAGGCGAGCGGCCAUGUUUCACGGCGUCGCCGGGUCAGGACGAGCGCAGCUGGACGUUAAAAGACGUCGGCGAUCCAGCGGAAACAUCAGUCUGGAACGAGACGAGACGACCCUGACGUCUGCGCUAGCUCUGGAGCCGUGUUUCCAGUCGAUGUGCGUAUCACUCAAAACAACCUCACCGCUGUGCUCCAGACGCUUGAUGCUUCACUAAGUGAUCAGAUGCACCGUUUUCCAUGAAACGGCCUGGAAAAAAACCACACGGCCUAGCGACGAGCUGUCAACCGCAAAAACACACCGAUAUUCCAGCCUGUGUUUUGAAGAGACGUUGGCGCUUGCAGCUUUGAAGACGUACUCGCGGAGCUUGUGUUUUAAAUUACUCGUGUUUCCUGUGAAAUACCCUUUUAAGAUGCUCCUCGGAGGAUGUUUCGAAUCAUGCAUUGCCGCAAAAUGCUUCCCUCUCUGCAAAAAGAUAUUCUUUCCAGUGUGCUCCUCGUUCUCAGAGACGUAUCUAGAUUACGUAAUCCGAUUAAGAAAUACUGGUAAUUAGAUUACAUUACUUGUAUUGGAUUAUAAGUACUUGUAAUUAGAUUCUAUUACAUUUUAUUGA